rnacentral:rRNA from 1 species
AAUCCGUUAACGAGAAUCUAUUGGAGGGCAAGUCUGGUGCCAGCAGCCGCGGUAAUUCCAGCUCCAAUAGCGUAUAUUAAUGUUGUUGCAGUUAAAAAGCUCGUAGUUGGAUCUGAGGACUCGAAUCGUCGGUGCAGUCAACGCUGUUACUGUUGAUUCGGCCUACCUAGUCGGUGCUCGCUCUUGGUGUUCUUAAUUGAAUGCCCUGAGUGCCCGACAUGUUUACUUUGAAAAAAUUAGAGUGCUCAAAGCAGGCCAUUAGCCGGAAUACUUCAGCAUGGAAUAAUGGAAUAGGACUUCGGUUCUAUUUUGUUGGUUUUCGGAACCCGAGGUAAUGAUUAAGAGAGACAGACGGGGGCAUUCGUACUGCGGUGUUAGAGGUGAAAUUCUUGGAUCGCCGCAAGACGAACAACUGCGAAAGCAUUUGCCAAGAAUGUUUUCAUUAAUCAAGAACGAAAGUCAGAGGUUCGAAGACGAUCAGAUACCGUCCUAGUUCUGACCAUAAACGAUGCCAACUGGCGAUCCGAGAUCGUUUGCUAUUUGACCUCUCGGGCAGCCUCCGGGAAACCAAAGUCUUUAGGUUCCGGGGGAAGUAUGGUUGCAAAGCUGGAACUUAAAGGAAUUGACGGAAGGGCACCACCAGGAGUGGAGCCUGCGGCUUAAUUUGACCCAACACGGGAAAACUCACCCGGCCCGGACACUGUUAGGAUUGACAGAUUGAGAGCUCUUUCUUGAUUCGGUGGGUGGUGGUGCAUGGCCGUUCUUAGUUGGUGGAGCGAUUUGUCUGGUUAAUUCCGAUAACGAACGAGACUCUAGCCUGCUAAAUAGUACGCCGAUAUCCAUUUUGUCGGUGCCGACUUCUUAGAGGGACAAGCGUCUUGAAGACGCACGAGAUUGAGCAAUAACAGGUCUGCGAUGCCCUUAGAUGUUCGGGGCCGCACGCGCGCUACACUGAAGGGGACAGCGAGUUUUUCCUGGUUUGAAAAAACCGGGUAAUCUGUUGAAUUCCCUUCGUGACAGGGAUCGGGGCUUGCAAUUAUUCCCCGUGAACGAGGAAUUCCCAGUAAGCGCAAGUCAUCAGCUUGCGUUGAUUACGUCCCUGCCCUUUGUACACACCGCCCGUCGCUACUACCGAUUGAAUGGUUUAGCAAGGUCCUCGGAUUGGUGCCAACUAGGUGGUAACACUUGGUCGGAUACU